rnacentral:rRNA from 1 species
AUUGAACGCUGGCGGCAGGCUUAACACAUGCAAGUCGAGCGGGGUGAUGGUGCUUGCACUAUCACUUAGCGGCGGACGGGUGAGUAAUGCUUAGGAAUCUGCCUAUUAGUGGGGGACGACAUCUCGAAAGGGAUGCUAAUACCGCAUACGUCCUACGGGAGAAAGCAGGGGAUCACUUGUGACCUUGCGCUAAUAGAUGAGUCUAAGUCGGAUUAGCUAGUUGGUGGGGUAAAGGCCUACCAAGGCGACGAUCUGUAGCGGGUCUGAGAGGAUGAGCCGCCACACUGGGCCUGAGACACGGCCCAGACUCCUACGGGAGGCAGCAGUGGGGAAUAUUGGACAAUGGGGGGAACCCUGAUCCAGCCAUGCCGCGUGUGUGAAGAGGGCCUUAUGGUUGUAAAGCACUUUAAGCGAGGAGGAGGCUCUUUUGGUUAAUACCCAAGAUGAGUGGACGUUACUCGCAGAAUAAGCACCGGCUAACUCUGUGCCAGCCGCCGCAGUAA